rnacentral:sRNA from 1 species
CCACAUCGGCGGCACUUGUCCUACCGCUGAGUCACCCCUGGGUCCUAACUCGGUGCGGAAGCGAGAAGCUCCGGCUGGUGCUUGGUAAAGAAGGCGUGAGGAGCCGGAACUCCUACCUUGAACCCGGAGAAGGCCAAGGGUCACUCUUUGCUCCGUUCAUCUUUUCGUGCCUAGUAUGACUGCCUUAAACAAACAAACAAAAAGUUAAACGUGCUUCCUGGAAGAAAAAGCAACUGGUUUGUAGUAGGGCAUGCUGCGGUGUAUAGUUUCUUCAGAAGCGCGAAGGCAGUCGUAGCUUUGGCUGGAUAUAUUGUCUGGAGUCUGAUUUUAUAGGAACUGGAAUUUAGAAUGGUUUUCAAGAGAUUUCUCAUCAUGCCGAUUCCAAUUGACCAAAAUUUUUCUGACUUUUUAAAAGUUUAAAGCAAGUUUUAAAAAACUUUUGUGGUAUGAAAAUGCUCACAAUAUUAAGUUGUACAUAUAUAUGCUGUAGACAUUUUUACUUUCAGUUUCUGUUUUCGUCAGUUAAGUUUUUACAUAGCUACUCUUUUUUAAAGUCAGGGAAGGCAGACAUUUUCUUUGUACUGAGUGGUAUGAGAAGCUGCAUUUCCUGUCAAGUAUAUGCUGAUCCUGUCAAAGUUUUACCACCUGCACUUACCACUUUUUCAUCUUUUUUACUGACUCAUAGAAGAUGUGUGUGAAGUUUUGACAUAUUUCCCCACUGUCCUAAAGUGACUUUGUUGGUCGAUAUUUAACUUCCAGAACAUUGAAGAGAAUCAUCUUCGGGUGACAUAAUUUUGAGUUAGGGGGCGUGAAUACUUUUUCUCCCGAAGGAAGAUUAUUUCAAGUGGAAUAUGCCAUUGAGGCUAUCAAGCUUGGUUCUACAGCCAUUGGGAUCCAGACAUCAGAGGGUGUGUGCCUAGCUGUGGAGAAGAGAAUUACUUCCCCACUGAUGGAGCCCAGCAGCAUUGAGAAAAUUGUAGAGAUUGAUGCUCACAUAGGUUGUGCCAUGAGUGGGCUAAUUGCUGAUGCUAAGACUUUAAUUGAUAAAGCCAGAGUGGAGACACAGAACCACUGGUUCACCUACAAUGAGACAAUGACAGUGGAGAGUGUGACCCAAGCUGUGUCCAAUCUGGCUUUGCAGUUUGGAGAAGAAGAUGCAGAUCCAGGUGCCAUGUCUCGUCCCUUUGGAGUAGCAUUAUUAUUUGGAGGAGUUGAUGAGAAAGGACCCCAGCUGUUUCAUAUGGACCCAUCUGGGACCUUUGUACAGUGUGAUGCUCGAGCAAUUGGCUCUGCUUCAGAGGGUGCCCAGAGCUCCUUGCAAGAAGUUUACCACAAGUCUAUGACUUUGAAAGAAGCCAUCAAGUCUUCACUCAUCAUCCUCAAACAAGUAAUGGAGGAGAAGCUGAAUGCAACAAACAUUGAGCUAGCCACAGUGCAGCCUGGCCAGAAUUUCCACAUGUUCACAAAGGAAGAACUUGAAGAGGUUAUCAAGGACAUUUAAGGAAUCCUGAUCCUCAGAACUUCUCUGGGACAAUUUCAGUUCUAAUAAUGUCCUUAAAUUUUAUUUCCAGCUCCUGUUCCUUGGAAAAUCUCCAUUGUAUGUGCAUUUUUUUAAUGAUGUCUGUACAUAAAGGCAGUUCUGAAAUAAAGAAAAUUUUAAAAGA